AUUGAACGCUGGCGGCAGGCUUAACACAUGCAAGUCGAGCGGGGGAAGGUAGCUUGCUACCGGACCUAGCGGCGGACGGGUGAGUAAUGCUUAGGAAUCUGCCUAUUAGUGGGGGACAACAUCUCGAAAGGGAUACUAAUACCGCAUACGUCCUACGGGAGAAAGCAGGGGAUCUUUGGACCUUGCGCUAAUAGAUGAGCCUAAGUCGGAUUAGCUAGUUGGUGGGGUAAAGGCCUACCAAGGCGACGAUCUGUAGCGGGUCUGAGAGGAUGAUCCGCCACACUGGGACGGAGACACGGCCCAGACUCCUACGGGAGGCAGCAGUGGGGAAUAUUGGACAAUGGGGGGAACCCUGAUCCAGCCAUGCCGCGUGUGUGAAGAAGGCCUUAUGGUUGUAAAGCACUUUAAGCGAGGAGGAGGCUACUUUAGUUAAUACCUAGAGAUAGUGGACGUUACUCGCAGAAUAAGCACCGGCUAACUCUGUGCCAGCCGCCGCGGUAA
rnacentral:rRNA from 1 species